CCUACGGGUGGCAGCAGUGGGGAAUAUUGGACAAUGGGGGCAACCCUGAUCCAGCCAUGCCGCGUGUGUGAAGAAGGCCCUCGGGUUGUAAAGCACUUUCAGUGAGGAAGAACGCCUGGUGGUUAAUACCCAUCAGGAAAGACAUCACUCACAGAAGAAGCACCGGCUAACUCCGUGCCAGCAGCCGCGGUAAUACGGAGGGUGCGAGCGUUAAUCGGAAUUACUGGGCGUAAAGCGCGCGUAGGUGGCUUGAUAAGCCGGUUGUGAAAGCCCCGGGCUCAACCUGGGAACGGCAUCCGGAACUGUCAAGCUAGAGUGCAGGAGAGGAAGGUAGAAUUCCCGGUGUAGCGGUGAAAUGCGUAGAGAUCGGGAGGAGUACCAGUGGCGAAGGCGGCCUUCUGGACUGACACUGACACUGAGGUGCGAAAGCGUGGGUAGCAAACAGGAUUAGAUACCCUGGUAGUC
rnacentral:rRNA from 1 species